AGAAUAAUUAAGGUUUGAUUUAAUCUUUAAUCAUAAUUUUAACUUAGAUUUUAUUACUUAUCUAUUUGCUCUAAUUAAGGUUUUAAUUUUUCAUAGGAGAGAUAUGAUGAGCUAUCAUUAUCUCAAAGAAGUUCAGGUGAUGGUGAUAAUAUUGAGGGAUCUGAGCCGUCUGUUACUAAUAAUUUAGAUUUAUGGUUAGAGGCCAGUGGGGGUGUCAAAGGGGGAAGGAUAAUAGGUAUGGGUUCUAUGAGUAGAAUCCAUAAUGUUCCUCGAAGAUCUUUAUGUUCUUCUACCCGACCCGCAGUAACAGCACAGAUUCAUAGCUUAACUGAAGAGGUUGACAAUUUGAAAGACAUAAUAUCUCAAAGGGAUCAGCAAAUUUUAGAAAUUCAAAAACAAAAUUCACAAAGAGAUCUAGAUAUGGUUGAAAUGCGUAAACAGCAAGCCUUUCUUUUACAACAAUUUCAACAAUUUAGAUCGGGUUCAAGCUAUAUUCCUCCUGGUAUUGGUGAUGAUGCUAAUGACGAUGAUGAUGUCGAUGAUGAUGCCGCCGAUGAUGUUGAUGAUGAUGCAUGAGUGUUUGGUUGGUAGGUGAAGAUGAUGGUGGUAUUGAUGUAAAAAUAUGUAGAAGAAGGAUUUGGACUGAGAAGGAUCUCCAUAAGAUUAUCUUCAACUCUAUCUUUUUCAUGUUCUUGUAUGAUAUUGGAA